AGGAAAAUCAAAAUGAGAGAGAGAGAGAGAGAGAGAGAGAGAGAGAGAGAGAGAGAGAGAGAGAGAGGAAAACAUGAAGCAAAACAAGAAAAAAGAAAGGAAAAUCAAAAUGAGAGAGAGAGAGAGAGAGAGAGAGAGAGAGAGAGAGAGAGAGAGAGAGAGAGAGUUAAUUUGAGUGUAGACAUUUUAGAACUGUUUUCAUCGAGCAGUUGCCUUGUUUCUAUGUCGCUAACUCGAGAUUUCUAACUAACGAUGAUGGUGAUGUUGAUGAUGAUGAGGUAGGUCGACUCCAAACAUCGCUGCCAGUUGACGGUAUAAAGCACAUCAAAUUUUUCGAUAUCUGACCCACAAAUACACGAAAAAGACCCGAUACUUUACGGUUACAACACAAACAUCAACCGAGCAUCAUUUACGUGUUCAUAGGUGACGGUUUUAAGCUAGACAUCGGUGAAUCAAUCCGCUCAUGACCACAAUCUGGCACCAUUAACUCGACACUUUUUAUGGUAAAGGAGGCAGCUCGAGGGUAAGAUAAAAUGACUUAAAAAUGCCCCAGUAAUCAUUGAUGCCAUUAAGAAAGUUGAGAUGAGUUUGCUGCCCUAAAAUGACUUAAAAAUGCCCCACCAAUCAUUGAUCCCAUUAAGAAAGUAGAGAUGAGUUUGCUGCCCUAAAAUGACUUAAAAAUGCCCCACUAAUCAUUGAUCCCAUUAAGAAAGUAGAGAUGAGUUUGCCGCCCUAAAAUGACUUAAAAAUGCCCCAGUAAUCAUUGAUCCCAUUAAGAGAGUUGAGAUGAGUUUGCCGCCCUAAAAUGACUUAAAAAUGCCCCACUAAUCAUUGAUCCCAUUAAGAAAGUUGAGAUGAGUUUGCUGCCCUAAAAUGACUUAAAAAUGCCCCACUAAUCAUUGAUCCCAUUAAGAAAAAAGACAUGAGUUUGCUGCCCUAAAAUGACUUAAAAAUGCCCCACUAAUCAUUGAUGCCAUUAAGAAAGUUGAGAUGAGUUUGCCACCCUAAAAUGACUUAAAAAUGCCCCACUAAUCAUUGAUCCCAUUAAGAAAGACAUGAGUUUGCUGCCCUAAAAUGACUUAAAAAUGCCCCACUAAUCAUUGAUCCCAUUAAGAAAGUUGAGAUGAGUUUGCCACCCUAAAAUGACUUAAAAAUGCCCCAGUAAUCAUUGAUGCCAUUAAGAAAGACAUGAGUUUGCUGCCCUAAAAUGACUUAAAAAUGCCCCAGUAAUCAUUGAUCCCAUUAAGAAAGACAUGAGUUUGCUGCCCUAAAAUGACUUAAAAAUGCCCCAGUAAUCAUUGAUGCCAUUAAGAAAGACAUGAGUUUGCUGCCCUAAAAUGACUUAAAAAUGCCCCACUAAUCAUUGAUCCCAUUAAGAAAGUAGAGAUGAGUUUGCUGCCCUAAAAUGACUUAAAAAUGCCCCACUAAUCAUUGAUCCCAUUAAGAAAGUUGAGAUGAGUUUGCUGCCCUAAAAUGACUUAAAAAUGCCCCACUAAUCAUUGAUCCCAUUAAGAAAGUUGAGAUGAGUUUGCCGCCCUAAAAUGACUUAAAAAUGCCCCACUAAUCAUUGAUCCCAUUAAGAAAGACAUGAGUUUGCUGCCCUAAAAUGACUUAAAAAUGCCCCAGUAAUCAUUGAUGCCAUUAAGAAAGUUGAGAUGAGUUUGCCGCCCUAAAAUGACUUAAAAAUGCCCCUCUAAUCAUUGAUCCCAUUAAGAAAGUAGACAUGAGUUUGCUGCCCUAAAAUGACUUAAAAAUGCCGCACUAAUCAUUGAUCCCAUUAAGAGAGUUGAGAUGAGUUUUCCCCCUAAAAUGAUAUAAAACUUGCCUACUUACGUAUUCUUAAAAACCUUUGGAGCUAUUACGUCAGAGGAAGGAUUUUUAAGUGUAACAUCGGCAAUCAGGUCAUCUGUUGGAGGGGUUGAAAAGCAUCUAUAAGCCCAUUGGAAGUAUUAUGUUUGGGAGAUGAAUUUAACUAUACCACAUCGACAAUCAGGUCAUCUGUUGGAGGGGUCAAAAAGCAUCUAUAAGCCCAUUGGAAGUAUGAUGUUUGAGAGAUGAAUUUAACCAUACCACAUCGACAAUCAGGUCAUCUGUUGGAGGGGUUGAAAAGCAUCUAUAAGCCCAUUGGAAGUAUUAUGUUUGAGAGAUGAAUUUAACCAUACCACAUCGGCAAUCAGGUCAUCUGUUGGAGGGGUCAAAAAGCUUCUAUAAGCCCAUUGGAAGUAUUAUGUUUGAGAGAUGAAUUUAACCAUACCACAUCGGCAAUCAGGUCAUCUGUUGGAGGGGUCAAAAAGCAUCUAUAAACUCAUUGGAAGUAUUAUGUUUGAGAGAUGAAUUUAACCAUACCACAUCGGCAAUCAGGUCAUCUGUUGGAGGGGUCAAAAAGCAUCUAUAAGCCCAUUGGAAGUAUUAUGUUUGAGAGAUGAAUUUAACCAUACCACAUCGGCAAUCAGGUCAUCUGUUGGAGGGGUCAAAAAGCUUCUAUAAACCCAAUGAAGUCAAGUAUCUGGAAUCAAUUAAAGACUAAAACCUAGGCAUUCUAAAUCUCAUUGAAAUAUUAAGCCUGAGGUAAUAAUGAAAGCAUAACACAUAGGCAACCAGUUCACUUGUUACAAGGUGUCAAAUGCCUUGCCAAACCCCAUCAUCAUCAGUGGUCAUUAUAAUCAUGGAUCUACAAUACAGUUUUUCCACUCUGGUCUAUAUCUAUAAGCCAUCUUUAUCCAUCAGUAUUAAUCCAUCCAUCACUGUACCUCUAUACCUCUAUCUUUACCUGUCUCUGUAUGGUCCCAGCUAAGUUAGUCCAAAUGUCUGAUUCCAAUGUUACUAAAUUUUGAUGUGGCCACACACACACUGCCUUCCCUCCCCCGCUCCUUGACAUCGGCCCCACUGACCCUGCUGCAUCUUUUAUAGUUUGUGUAUAAGUAAUAGUGUUUUGUCUCUUUCCAUUUGAGAAGUCAGAUUCAUGAUUGCAAUGAAUAACGGGCGUGUGAUUUUUACCUUGAACGCUGUAAAAAUUGUUCCCCUUAUGAGCGCCAUGGACGUUUCUUCUGGUCACUCCUCACUGAAAGGAAGGAAACAAAACAUUAUUGGUGCAAACACUGUGCGGGAUGUGUCGAGGUUGUGGUGGACAGCGGGAGGAAGGAGAAAUAGUUUUGUACAGCAUGGAUGGCAGCAGGAUUCAUUUCGGAGAAGAAAAAAUAUAUGCUCGAAAUUCCUUACGUUUGUGGCACAACUUGACUUAAAAUCACCUUGAGCCCAAGUGAAUUUUAGGCCUACAAUUUAAGUCUGUAAGUAAAGCGCAAAGCUCGCCAAAUAUUUCUGCAGCCUGCCAACCUGACUGAUUAAAAGUUCUCCAAUCAUUCUUUGUGUUUUGAAAAAUUUUAAUCUUUGCCUAAACUUCAGAGACAUUUAGGCAUGAAACUCAAGGACUCACUGUAUAUACAUAUUUUUCCUUUCUUUCUACUUCAUCUGUCCUUUUUUAUACUGAUGGCAGGCUGUGUGUACUUAUUUAAGUGCUGUACACUCUAUGAGGAACUGCAGUAAAGCUCGCCAUGACUAAUAAAGUGUACAUGGCGACAGUAUUGUGUCCCGGACCCUGGCGCCACAACACCCCGCUCUGUACUGCCUAAACUGUGGCACUUGUAUAUUGAGUCAGUAAAGUUGUUCACAGGUCAGGAGGUGAGGUGUUGCUGGACCAUCAACAUCCUUUGGUCAGAACACUCACAAGCUUUUUGUUAUUCAUAUGGAAUUUUGGUGGCUGUAUAUUGUUUUAUUAUUAUUGUUAUUCUUUUAAUCCUUACCUCAAGUACUGCCGCAUCGCCACAACAUUGAUGAGUCUUCUGGGAGUACUUGUGUGGAGCGAUGAUGCUUUUCAGAUCCCUAUAUUGGUUUGAUCAAGUCCGUCAUGACUUUUCGUUCCCCGUUCCUCUGUUACAGCCAACGCUUGUACGCCUAAUGAUUAAAUUGAAAUGCUCUUGUUAAGGGGCAUUAUUGAUUGAAGUA